GGAUCAAAUUGUUGGUCGUGCUAUUGUACGUACUGGUAUUAUUGAUUCCUACCUUCUGACGAACCAUGAUGUCAUUAAUUUGGUGUCUUGGGGAAUCAGGACUGUUACUUUGAAAAAUUAGAGUGUUUAAAGCAGGCUCACGCUUGAAUACAUUAGCAUGGAAUAAUGAAAUAGGACGUUCGAUCCUAUUUUGUUGGUUUCUAGGAUUGACGUA
rnacentral:rRNA from 1 species